CACUGCACUAAGCUAGAACCCAAACAUUGUGACAUAGGAGGCAGGUUUCCUUAGCAAUGAACAAGAGGAUCCUGCUUCCUAUGUCACAGUGUUUAGGUUCUGGUUUCUAUAGGGACAGAAAUGUAUAAAGUAUGCUCCACAGACCUUCAGGCUCAGAUGGAGUUAGCGGGAGCUUGAGGCUGGACAUAAGAGAGGUAUUGCUGGGUUCUCUUUGUCCUUCAGAAAUGGAAGGAGACCCUGGUCACACUCAAGUAUGAGGAAGAAGAUAAGGGCCUCGGUUCGGCAGGGCACCAAGUAUAUUUAAAUAAAUUGAUGACUGAGGAAGCUAAACUGGCCGAGAGGUGAUGGGAAAGAAGCUCAGAUAAGUAUUCAUAUAUACAGGAGCUAAGAUAAUGGAGUGCUAAAUGUUGCAGGACUCUAAAACACAGAAACCAAUUUAACUGUUUUAGAAUCACGGCUUUUCCAUGUGCUGCUGUUUUUUCUUUGCUAUGCUGAGAACAAAUUUUGGACAGUUUCCCACACUAUCUCAUUGAUCUGCAAGGUAGGGAUAUUCCUGGGGAGUUAUAGAAAUGUUACUGCAGUAGUAUUAUGUACAAGCAAUCCUUUAAAAAAUAAAAUACACUUUCAUUACCAGAACUGCAGUGGAGAAGAGGGCAGGCUUUUGACCAUAUAAUUCUAAAUUCAACUAAAACCCCCUGUGAUUUGGCAAAGUAAUUUUAGGCCCUUUGUUUAAUAGUUUUAUGGGAUUUAAACAAGAACGAGGGUAACACUGUAUACAACAGUGUUGUUUUACAUAGAAUGUAACUGAUCUGUAGAAAAGUAUGAGCUGAAAGAAGAGACAAUGCAUUAACUUUUCUAACACAAGAAAAUCUUUAAUAUUUUUUUCAAGAAAACAACAAUAAAUGGCAAUACUUUAGGGGAAGUUUAGAAUGCCAACUAGGAGUUAAGCAACAGAGUUACUAAGCAGUGAGCUGAAGAGAGGACAACAACAUGUAAACUAAGGAAGAAGCAGGAUCAGAAAAUGCUGCUGUCGGUUUUGAAGGCAAAGCUGUGCCUAUGGGAGAAGCCAGAACCUCUUGGAAUUUAAUGCUGGAAAUCCCUCCAUUGGAUUCAGGUCCCUCACCCAAGCCCUGAACUUAUGACCCUGCAUUACAAUGACCAUCUUGAAGAAAUCAGCUCUGAUUCAAGAUGCUCUGCUGUUAACUGUGUGGGCUACUCCCUGCAAAUAAGGACAUGACCUCUCCAUGUUGGAGUUUGAUCUCUGUGGUAGGAUGGAGGUAGAGGGUGUAUGUGUGCUUGCUGGAGAAAAACAUGUUCCAAAGUGUCUAGGCCAGAAAAAAAACUCAGCGAGGAAUAAAACAAGCUUCAGGGA